rnacentral:rRNA from 1 species
GUUCGGAUUGUAGUCUGCAACCCGACUACAUGAAGCUGGAAUCGCUAGUAAUCGCGAAUCAGAAUGUCGCGGUGAAUACGUUCCCGGGUCUUGUACACACCGCCCGUCACACCAUGGGAGUCGGAAAUGCCCGAAGCCGGUGACCCAACCAAAAGGAGGGAGCCGUCGAAGGCAGGUCUGAUAACUGGGGUGAAGUCGUAACAAGGUACC